rnacentral:rRNA from 1 species
AUGAGCAAGCCGCUCGGCCCCAAGAAUCGUGGUCUUUCCACUUAUGAAAAAGAAUGCAUUUCCAUUCUCAUGGUCGUCGAGCAAUGGCGCCCUUACCUGCACAACGACGAAUUCAUCAUUUGUACAGAUCAGAGAAGCCUCGUGCACCUCGAUGAUCAACACUUGUCCACCCCCUGGCAGCAGAAGGCGUUCACCAAACUGCUCGGGAUGCACUAUAAAAUCUGCUACCGCUCCGGAUCUUCAAACACUGCUGUUGAUGCGCUCUCGCCCCGCACCCCUGAUGAGCUCGUCGCGGCUGUGUCUGUCUGCACCCCGGCUUGGCUGGACGACAUCAUGGCGAGCUACAGCACAAAUCCACAAGUUCAGAAGAUCUUGGAAGAUUUGUCCAAACGACCGGACCCAAAAGGGCGUUUCUCCAUGCGCGAUGGCCUGCUCUACUUCCGCGAUCGGCUAUGGUUGGGCGGCUCUCCCGCCCUGCAGCAACGGAUGCUCCAUGCCUUCCACGACAGCACCAUGGGCGGCCACUCCGGCGUGCCAGUCACUUAUCGCCGUCUGCGUCACCUAUUCGCCUUGCCCAAGAUGAAAGAACACACUCGUCAGUACGUCCAGUCCUGCUCAGUCUGCCAGCAAGCAAAACCAGAGCACGUUCGCUACCCGGGACUUCUCGAACCUCUGCCGGUGCCAGACCGCGCCUGGAAGGUGGUCGCCAUGGAUUUCAUCAACGGUCUUCCUCCUUCAGGCAAGUACAAUUGCAUCCUCGUCGUUGUCAACAAAUUCACCCGCUACAGUCAUUUCCUCUCUCUGAGCCACCCAUUCACGGCGGCCAAGGUCGCACACGCCUACCUGGAGAACAUUUAUAAACUCCAUGGGCUCCCAGAGGCGAUCGUAUCGGACAGAGACCCAGUUUUCACAAGCAAGUUCUGGCAAGAGUUGUUCAAGAUCAUCGGAUCCGAGCUCAACAUGAGUACACCGUACCACCCUCAGACCGACGGGCAGUCAGAACACGUCAACCAGUGCCUGGAGAUAUACUUACGGUGUUUCAUGCAUGCCUGUCCAAGCAAAUGGCACCAGUACCUUGCACUCGCAGAAUUCUGGUACAACUCUUCCUUUCAUUCUUCCUUGGGCACCUCACCUUUUGUUGCACUAUAUGGGCAUGAACCAUGUCAUUGGGGCAUCGAGGCGGCCUCCACUUGCUCCAUUCCCUCACUCAAGGACUGGCUCGAGGAGCGCAAGCACAUGCAGCAGGUGCUAGCCGAGCACCUCCACCGGGCGCGCAACAUCAUGAAGGCACAGGCUGACAAGAAGCGCACUGAUCGCUCCUUCGUCGUCGGGGAUGCGGUCUUCGUCAAGCUUCAACCCUACGUGCAAACGACGGUGGCAUAUCGCGCCAACCACAAGCUCUCCUUCCGCUACUUCGGACCCUUCAAGAUCAUCCGCAUCGUCAACCCCGUCGCGUACGAACUGGAGCUUCCCGCCGGCGCCAAGGUCCACACCGUCUUCCACGUCUCUCAGCUAUGGCGAGCACUCUCCAACAACACGACGGUGGAAGACAAGCUGCCCACUCCACCGGAGGAACCACUGUCGCCGGUGGAGAUCAUCGACACACACUGGCACAACACCCCCCCAAGGCCGGCGUGA